AUGGAGGACGGGGACCUCCCCGUGACUGGUGACCCCAGCUUCCUUCCAAGCUCUGUUGGCGGACGCCAUGGAGGACGGCGACGAACUCACCUUCCUGAGCGCGGUUGGCCUCUUUUUCUCCCCGAGCGGUGGUGGCGUCCUCUUCUCCCCGAACGCGGCGGCCUCCUCUUCUCCUCGAGCACGGCGGCGGCCUCCUCUUCUCCUCGAGCGCGGCGGCAGCCUCCUCUUCUCCCCAAGCGCGGCGGCCUCCUCUUCUCCCCAAGCACGGCGGCGGCCUCCUCUUCUCCCCGAGCGCGGCGGCAGCCUCCGCUUCUACCCAAGCGCGGUGGCAGCCUCCUCGUCUCGGCGAGGCACGAUGCGGCGGCUGGGACAGGGUCGCCGGCUUGA
rnacentral:rRNA from 1 species